GUGAACCGUCGGAGGGAUCAUUACCGAGUGAGGGCCUUCGGGCUCGACCUCCAACCCUUUGUGAACACAACUCGUUGCUUCGGGGGCGACCCUGCCGUUUCGACGGCGAGCGCCCCCGGAGGCCUUCAAACACUGCAUCUUUGCGUCGGAGUUUAAGUAAAUUAAACAAAACUUUCAACAACGGAUCUCUUGGUUCUGGCAUCGAUGAAGAACGCAGCGAAAUGCGAUAAGUAAUGUGAAUUGCAGAAUUCAGUGAAUCAUCGAAUCUUUGAACGCACAUUGCGCCCUUUGGUAUUCCGAAGGGCAUGCCUGUUCGAGCGUCAUUUCACCACUCAAGCCUAGCUUGGUAUUGGGCGCCGCGGUGUUCCGCGCGCCUCGAAGUCUCCGGCUGAGCUGUCCGUCUCCAAGCGCUGUGAUUUCAUUAAUCGCUUCGGAGCGCGGGCGGUCGCGGCCGUUAAAUCUUUCACAAGGUUGACCUCGGAUCAGGUAGGGAUACCCGCUGAACUUAA
rnacentral:rRNA from 1 species